rnacentral:rRNA from 1 species
GACGAACGCUGGCGGCGUGCUUAACACAUGCAAGUCGAACGGAAAGGCCCUGCUUUUGUGGGGUGCUCGAGUGGCGAACGGGUGAGUAACACGUGAGUAACCUGCCCUUGACUUUGGGAUAACUUCAGGAAACUGGGGCUAAUACCGGAUAGGAGCUCCUGCUGCAUGGUGGGGGUUGGAAAGUUUCGGCGGUUGGGGAUGGACUCGCGGCUUAUCAGCUUAUUGGUGGGGUAGUGGCUUACCAAGGCUUUGACGGGUAGCCGGCCUGAGAGGGUGACCGGCCACAUUGGGACUGAGAUACGGCCCAGACUCCUACGGGAGGCAGCAGUGGGGAAUAUUGCACAAUGGGCGGAAGCCUGAUGCAGCAACGCCGCGUGCGGGAUGACGGCCUUCGGGUUGUAUACCGCUUUCGCCUGUGACGAAGCGUGAGUGACGGUAAUGGGUAAAGAAGCACCGGCUAACUACGUG